UAAUCUGACUAAAAAAGAAAAAUGGAAAAUAGAAUCCUUAAUUCCCUGGAACCUUCAUCCCCAAAUUAAACUAGCGUUGUUCAUCUCCUUCAUCUCAUCCCCCAAAGUCUUAAUUUUUUUUCCAGAAAUUCAUCUUAAUAUCUCAACUUCUUCCCCAGCCUCUGCACCAUCACCGAUCUCUUCUCCUCUCCUGCGUUCAUCCUCUUCUCUACGCCGCGCUCACUCAUGCGGCUUCUUUUCAUCGCCGAUACCAACAAGAACCCAACGGUGCAGCUUGAGGCGCUUCUCAUCGAGUUGCAGUGCAGUGUUAGUUUACACGUUGCGGUUUCUGGACUUCUUGGCUUCCAAUUCUGACUCACUGACACGGAGGAGCUCGAACUCGCCAUCGUUCGAUAAUGAGUUUAGGGCUUUCUCGCCCACACCCAUAUGUUUUGAGUUAAGCCUCUAGUUAGGAAUCAUGUCGAGGCCCAUGCUGCUUGUCUUCUUGCUGAUUAUACUUAUAAUUUAAGCAUUAAGAGACAGGAAUUAAUAAGGUGGUUCUUGAAACUGAGUGAAUGGGCUCAUUUCUCAUCCUAUGAAGUUGAUAUUCGAUCUAGAUCAAGUGCUUCCCAUAUUCUGGUUUUAAGUUAUAUCAGGAUGUACAGGACCUCUUUGAAUUUCCUUCUCUUUGCUAAUAAAUGAGUUUGCCCAAUCACAUCCACCAUAAUCAGAAGAAAGGUUUACAAGCUUAUUUGCUACAAUAUAUCAAUGGCCGCACUCAUAGAAUCAAAAUGCAGGUACCUUACUCCAUGUGAAGCCGCAUGGAGAACAUUCAAAUAUGAUAUUCAUUACAGAUGGCCUCCAGUGUUGCGAUUAGGAUUUCAUCUUCCAAACCAACAAAGUGUUUUAUUCAAGGAAAAUGACGAUUUAGAAGAUGUGAUGGAAAAAUCAACAAAAAAGGGCACUCAAUUCUUGGCUUAGAUGAACGCCAACAAGAAGUACCAGGAGGGGAGAAAUCUCACAUAUGCAGAAUUUCCUUCUGAGUUUCUUUACAACAAAAAAACAACAAAAUGGGUUCCUAAGAAAAAAAGAUUUUCUCUUGGUCGGUUGCAAUUUAUUGCUCCAGGAAUGGGAGAAAAUUACUAUAUGCGUGUUUUAUUAACCAUGCAAAAAGGUUGUGACAGUUUUAAAAGCAUAAAAACGGUUAAGGGUGUGGUUUAUCCCACUUUCCAUGAUGCAUGCGAAGCAAUGGGACUGUUGGAGGAUGAUCGCGAGUAUGUUGAUGGAAUUUCAAUUUCAAGUGAAUUUGGAUCUGGAACUCAACUAAGGAAACUUUUUUACUAGAAUGCUGAUGACAAACUUGAUUUCCCGGCCACAAGAAGUUUGGAGAAAGUCCUGGUCUCUUUUAUGUGAUGGCAUUUUAUAUGACAGAAGGAAAACACUCAACAUUUCAGAUAUUCAAUCAUUUAUAAAAAUGUUUUGAAUGUAAUUAAUGCAGUUAGACUAUUUUGUUAUUUUGAAUUUAAUGUACUUUAUCGCGUUAUUAAUGCAGUAAAUUUGAUAUUUUUUUUAAUAAA